rnacentral:rRNA from 1 species
AUUGAACGCUGGCGGCAGGCCUAACACAUGCAAGUAGAGCGGAGCGGCGGACGGGUGAGUAAUGCCUAGGAAUCUGCCUGGUAGUGGGGGAUAACGUCCGGAAACGGGCGCUAAUACCGCAUCCUAUCAGAUGAGCCGAGGUCGGGUUAGCUAGGUGGUGGGGUAAAGGCCUACCAAGGCAACGAUCCGUAACUGGUCUGAGAGGAUGAGCAGUCAAACUGGAACUGAGACACGGUCCAGCCUCCUACGGGAGGCAGCAGUGGGGAAUAUUUGACAAUGGGCGAAAGCCUGAUCCAGCCAUGCCGCGUGUGGGAAGAAGGUCUUCGGAUUGUAAAGCACUUUAAGUUGGGAGGCGUUACCAACAGAAUAAGCACCGGCUAACUUCGUGCCAGCCGCCGCGGUAAUAC